UGGGGAAUAUUGCACAAUGGGCGGAAGCCUGAUGCAGCGACGCCGCGUGGGGGAUGAAGGCCUUCGGGUUGUAAACUCCUUUCGACAGGGACGAAGCUUUUGUGACGGUACCUGUAUAAGAAGCACCGGCUAACUACGUGCCAGCAGCCGUGGUACUACGUAGGGUGCGAGCGUUGUCCGGAAUUACUGGGCGUAAAGAGCUCGUAGGUGGUUUGUCGCGUCGUCUGUGAAAUUCCGGGGCUUAACUCCGGGCGUGCAGGCGAUACGGGCUGACUUGAGUGCUGUAGGGGAGACUGAAAUUCCUGGUGUCGCGGUGAAAUGCGCAGAUAGCAGGAGGAACCCCGCUGGCGAGGGCAGGUCUCUGGGCAGUAACUGACGCUGAGGAGCGAAAGCAUGGGUAGCGAACAGG
rnacentral:rRNA from 1 species